UGGCAGAAAACAGUUUUUCCCCUUCCACUGUGGAAAAAAAAAAAGACAAAAUGAAGGCCUGCACACCUUUAGCUCCACCAGCCAGAGCCUGUCCUCGUGCUCACCAGGCCCCUCACAACAGAUGAUAACCAGUGCACUAGUGACCCCAUGAUCAAUACUGUUUAGUUAUCCUUCCAGGUGUGUCAAGAAUAUUUGAUUAGAGGGGAGGGGCUGUUUGGCACUUUGACUCCAGAUAGAAGCAGAUACAAGAAAAGUUGGGAUGCUGACCAUGAGCUGCCUUUAGGGAUUGGAUGCAGUGCAAAAGCAACCAACGUGCCAUUUCACAUUUAGAUCAAACGUGAGGGAAAUGAUCCCGAUGUCAUCAAAGCCUUGGCUACCGGCACAGCGCUAUCAGCCACACCGUACAGUGAUCGCGGCUCUGGAUCUGGUCUUUAAUCAACAUCUGGCAGGAUCCGGAUCGAUAGCUCUGGCAGGGAGCUGCUUCCAGUGACAAAGGGGGACACAGCGCGCUACGUUAGCAUGCUAAGCUAGCUAACUCGCACCAACAACAUGGGCUUUCCAAGACUGGUGCUGCUGUUCCUUACCUUGUUUUUUCCCCCCACAACAAAGGAUAACUACCUGUGUCAUUUCACUCCCCAAAACAGACAUGGGUGAACUUACAGAAUAAAUCAUUCCACUUGAGAUUAUUGUGAAACCUGUCUGACUUCUUUAAAAACAGCGACCAUGACAGCCAAAUUACCUUAGCUUUAGUCCAUCAGCGCAUCACGGCAGCUAGCGAAAGCUAACAGCGGACUAACGUUAACGAUACCUUGCUUUUACGUUGUGCCCAGUGAUAUGACUGACAAGUUUACCUGCU